rnacentral:rRNA from 1 species
GGAAUAUUGGUCAAUGGAGGGAACUCUGAACCAGCCAUGCCGCGUGCAGGAUGACUGCCCUAUGGGUUGUAAACUGCUUUUGUCAGGGAAUAAACCUUUCCACGUGUGGGAAGCUGAAUGUACCUGAAGAAUAAGGAUCGGCUAACUCCGUGCCAGCAGCCGCGGUAAUACGGAGGAUCCAAGCGUUAUCCGGAUUUAUUGGGUUUAAAGGGUGCGUAGGCGGUCCUAUAAGUCAGUGGUGAAAGACGGCAGCUUAACUGUCGCAGUGCCUUUGAUACUGUAGGACUUGAAUCUAUUUGAAGUGGGCGGAAUAAGACAAGUAGCGGUGAAAUGCAUAGAUAUGUCUUAGAACUCCGAUUGCGAAGGCAGCUCACUAAGUUAGUAUUGACGCUGAUGCACGAAAGCGUGGGGAUCAAACAGGAUUAGAUACCCCUG